AAAACCAAAACAACUYUCGGCAACGGAUAUCUCGGCUCUCGCAUCGAUG
rnacentral:rRNA from 1 species